AUGAUUAUGGAAAGGAGGAUAAGAGUCAACCCAUCACUGCUCCUGCUAUAGGUGAAUUGCAUGAAAUCUGGAACUGCAAGGUCUCAUAGUAAUGCUGUAAUUUCUUGAAAAGCCCUUUCGUCUUCACACUUCAACUUUCCAAAUGGCGCAAACACCCAAAAUUCGUUUCGGCUUCAUCGGCUGCGCCGCAAUUGGGCGCAGGGUUUCCCGCGCCGUCGCGCUCGCGCCCAACGCCGUCCUGCACGCCGUCGGAAGCCGCUCCAUCGACAAGGCCCGCGCCUUCGCCGCCGCCAACGGCUUCCCCGCCGCCGCCAAGGUGUACGGCUCCUAUGAGGCCGUCCUCGACGAUCCCGAGGUCGACGCCGUCUACCUGCCGCUUCCCACCAGCCUGCACGUUCGCUGGGCCGUGCUCGCCGCCAGCAAGAAGAAGCACGUGCUGCUUGAGAAGCCAGUUGCUCUUAAUGUUGCUGAGUUUGACGAGAUCAUCGCGGCGUGCGAAUCCAAUGGAGUGCAGCUCAUGGACGGUACCAUGUGGAUGCACCAUCCCCGCACCUUGAAGAUGAAGGAGUUUCUCUCCGACGUAAACCGUUUUGGUCAGCUCAGAUCGAUUCACUCCAAUUUUACAUUUAGGGCUAGUGCCAAUUUUCUUGAGAAUAACAUUCGUGUGAAGCCAGAUCUUGAUGCUCUUGGUGCUCUUGGCGAUGCAGGUUGGUACUGUCUUAGGGCAAUACUGUGGGCAGCCAACUAUGAACUACCAAAAACUGUAAUCGCCUCGCGCAACCCUGAGCGUAAUCAAGUUGGGGUGAUAUUGGCUUGUGGGGCUACUUUGUACUGGGAAGAUGGAAAAGCAGCAACCUUCUAUUGCUCCUUCUUGUCCAACACGUCAACGGAUAUAACUGCUCUAGGGACAAAAGGAACGCUACAUGUUCAUGACUUCGUUCUCCCUUAUGAAGAAAAGGAAACAUCAUUUUAUGCAGCUACAGAAUCAGGUGUUGAUGAAGCUGUUACAAAGUGGGUUCCACAGCCAAGCAAGCGUAUAAUAGAAACUGACAUACCUCAGGAGGCUCUUAUGGUAAAUGAGCUUUCCCGUUUAGUGGCAGAUAUCAAAUUCAAGAAAGCAAAACCCGAGCAGAAGUGGCCAACAAUUAGUAGGAAAACUCAACUCGUAGUGGAUGCUGUGAAGACUUCAAUUGAUAGGGGUUUUGAGCCAGUGCAGAUUCAGGAGUGAGGUGUAUGAACUGAGUUAUCAGUGUUUUAAGAUGAAGUCCAGCAUGGUUUACACGACUUUGGUGUUGUGCGGAUUAAGCUGAAGUUCUGUAGAAUGGCAUGAUUUAGUGCAUUUGUUGUAAAUUAAAGUAGAGUGUAAGAUUAGAGGGAGAUCAUUCUUUCUUGUAGUUCGUGUUUACUGAAAAGGAAAUCAUGUAGCUUAGAAACUGUUUGUGGGUUUCUUAUUCUUUAGGUGAUCAGCUUGCCGUUGCCAAGGAAACUGGCCUAAGGCUUGGGAUGGGAACAAACAGGCUUUUCAAGAUCACCACAAUGGGAUUGAACCAACACAUAAUGAGGAAACAACCACUUUGACCCAGAAGCAAUAAGAGAUGUUUCACUCAAAGGUGAGGAUUAUUGAAGAGAAUUAUGAGGAGGUUAUUGAUAUUGAGAAUUUAACCAUUGCAUUGAGAAAGAGAAAAAGAUCGUACUAAAUACUAUAUUUCUUAAUAUGUCUGCAUUGACAAUCUUUUUAAUAAAUAUCGAAACGUUAUUGUUGUCAUUGAAGGAUGGGGUGCAGAUGGGAUAUUUACAAUGAAAUAUAAGUCAAUAGAAAAAAUAUAAAGUCAAAUCGGUUGCACAGGAAUACACCCAAACUUAUGGAAUUGACUAUAGAGAAACAUUUGCUACAGUAUUAAAAAUGAAUACAGUUCAAGUUGUUUUUGUUAUGGUAACUCAUUUAGGUUAAGACUUGCACUAUUGGAAUGUGAGGAAUAUCUUUCUUCAUGGAGCUUUAGAAAAAGAAGAGUACAUGGAGAUUCUUUCAGGAUUUGAAAUUCAUAAUGGAGGAAUAUGGUAUGUAUGCUUUCUAAAGAGGCCUUAUAUGGUCUUAAGCAAUCCCCAAGAGCAUACUUUGAAUAUGAAAAUGAUUUCCUUAGGAUACAAGCAAAGCCAAGGUGGGAAAAUGCUCAAUGUUUUCUUUUUCUAUUUUCAAUUUUAUUUAUAUAAAUCAAUCAGUUUUCAAGUUCAUUUCUCUUUCAAUAAGUUUGUAUCUGAAAUAGUGAAAACAAUUUCAUAUUAUUGUGUGAUAUACUGAUAGAGACCUAAGAAUAGCAUGAUAGAGUCCCGGUAAGGCAAAAGAAGAAAGGACUUCCAAGAUUAAGGAAUCAUAAUUCACAAGGACUAGAAAGUCCUUUCCUGUUUAGACUUUCUAGUCCUCAUUCAUGUUUUUUUUAGUUCUCUACCAAAUGCAAUCACACAUACUCUAUCUAGAACAUCACUAUAGUGAAGAUACAAGAAAAAAUGCAUACUGGAAGUGACUUAAUGCCAACUCAUCAACAACAGCAUGCAUAUAUAGGAAUCCAUAAUUAAUAAACCAAUGCAAUAUCGAACUUCAAAAUAUAACAUACACAAGUAGAUAGAUACAAGAUUGCAGGGUACCAUUUAGGCAACAUGUACUAUGCCUCACUCUCCCCAAAACUGAGUUCAUAGAAAAAUAAUUAACUCCCUAUCAACUGGUAUUGGAAUUAUAAGGCAUAGGGAGCAACCACAUCUGUUGAACUCACAAACCUGUAAAUCAACCACAUAUAACACAAAAUCAGAUCAUCAUAUGUAAUAUUUUCAGGUAUUAUCUUUAGGACAUUUAAUUCAAGAUAGACAAGGUUUGAAGUGCAAAACUUUAGAAGCCAGGAUUGUAAAUGUCUAACUACAUUCCCUUGAUUCUUUUUUAGUUUCACAUUCCCCUGAUGUGUGUCCUAAAGGAACUGAAAAUAUACUCAAUGAAAGAAAAAAAAAAGCCUCCUUAUUGAUGUCACAUUGCAUGCAGUCUUCAUCAUUGAUAAAAUUUGAUAGGAAUCUUGACUGCUGGUUAUGCUGUAUACAGUUUUAACAGUUUUAAAAAGCAUAACGAGAAUGGAAGUGUACAGCUUUAUCGCCAACAAGUAAAUCACAGUUUUCAUUGAAUUCCUUCACCUAUAGUCAUCUUUGAAGUGGCAAUUGACAUAUAAUAACAGGAAAGCCUUAGAAGAAGGAUCACAAAGAUGAGAAAAAACAGAAGAACAUGGGCAUAAGUCUUAAUGUGACGGAUAAAAAAUAAACUUACAGCACGAAAUGAUAUAGCCUGGGCAAUUUUAAUAUAUGCCUGCAAGAAAGUAGUAUAAAAUAGCAAUUAAGAAAUAAGACAUUUUCGCUUGUGGUCAUGCUGAACAAAAACCACUGCUAAACUAAAUUAUUAUUCAUCUUAUGCAUCAAUAUAGUAUUCACCAUUGUGUCGUUAGUAAUCUUCAAGACUCACUUUUUAGUCCAUAUUCCCCCUAUAUCAACCUAGAAUAGGGAAAAUAGUUCACUGGAGUCGGAGAUAAAGGGAACUUAUGUCGAUUCCCUGGCUUUUAAAAAAACUCUUGAGGUGUCGCAAUAGAUAGCUUUAGGACAAAAAAAAGUUCAAAUUUAUCAGAUUUAAGUAAACACAAUCCAAAGAAAAUAUCAGAAAGACCUCCAAAUUUAGAGCAACAAUAUCUAGGAAUUGAAACAUUUGAUUCAUUCUGUCCCACUGUUGAACAAGUUACAAGAAAAUAAAAUAAGAUUCAGAAGAAAAAUAAAGACAAAAUGUAGGGACAGAUAGAUGAAAAAAGGAUGUAGGGAAUUACGGUAAAGAACAAUUUGUUAACCCAAAAAAGUGAGGAUAGAAGUUUUCAGAGUUAGUUUUCUAUUCAAAAUUUAAAAUUCUGAAAUCCCCCCAUCCCCCCUUCCAUUUCAAGGGAGAAAUCAAAUUUACCCUAAAUGUUCAAACUAAAAUCAAUUUGUUGUCAAUACAGGGAUGAAACCCAACAAAAAAUCCAUGAGAAGAAAAAAAAAAAGAUAGGCAACAAAUUCACAACUGGUGAAGAAUGAAUAGGUCAAUAACAUCAAUGUCCCACAAAUGCCAAAAUUUUUAAAGACAAAAAUGCAAGUUAUAGAAAACAAGUUCAACCCUACUUAAAAAAAUAACCAGCUUUAGAUACCGGCCCAAACUCUAUCAAUAUUUUCCUUAGAUCAGCAGCUCUAACCUGCAAAACAAAAGAACAAAUAAAUAAAUAAAUAAAAUAUUCUUUCCAGUACAAAUCACAAGUAUGUGAGUGUUUUGAGAAGAGAGAAAACAAGAACUCCAAAGAAAACAAAAAAACUAUGAAUGAAUAUUAUUGAAAAAGUGUCUUGAGUACAGCAAGGAAUAUAUAUAAAAGGUGAAAAGUAGAAAGGGAAAGUAGAAAUAACAAAAAGUCUUUAUAACAUUGAGACCGAACGGUUUUUGGAUAUCCACCGUUCGGUAUGAUGAAGUCGUUCGGUAGCCAUACCUAUAACAACUAUUCGGUAUGCAUCAGCUUUCUGCUGCUGUUCGGUAAGAUAUCGUUGUUCACCGUUCGGUAACAAGAGAGAAACCGUUCGGUAACAACAGAAGAAGAUCUCUAUCACCCUCCCUCAAGCUGAACGUGGCUAUU